rnacentral:lncRNA from 1 species
CUGCGCUCUGGCGGGAGGGCGCUUCUCUCGGCUUUUUAUAGCUUCAUGGCGGACCACGUUGAGAACAACAACAGCCUGGUCCGGGGCCAGCGCCAACUUGUGCUUCUUGGAGCCCCUUCUCCGGCCGCUGGCUUCUCGGACCGCGCCUCUCCAGCGCCGCCGCGCCCGCAGCGGGGCGCCCCGGACAGGGCCUGAGCUCCCGGCGCAGUGGAGAGGCGACUUGCGUCCUGGAAGGGCUCAGCAAAGGCGAACGGAGAGGUGCACCCUAGGCUGCGGGAGCGCGAGAGGAGGGGGGCACCUCGUUUGGAGGCCAAUAGCGCGGGCCCCAGAGGAGGCCCCACGGCCGGGAGCUUGGCGGCCGGCAACCCAGAGAACGCCACGGGCACCCGAGCCUUGUCCCGGCCCGGGGGGCUCCAGGCCUGCCCGCAAGAGGAGCUUUAAUUUGUCCAAACUAACACAGGGCGCGCCCUCACGUGGUCGGCUGGGGCAACGUGAACUGCGCUAGGACAUCCUCGGGGGUUUUCCGCCCCAUCCAAAGGGGAUGGCGGAUGGGAGGCACUCUCCAGCUGCACCCCGGGUUCUGGUUGUGCCUCUGGGAGCCUAGGCACAACCCGGGGAAUGGAGGACUACGGCAGGACCUCUCUAGGGACACUGCCUCGCCGCUCCCCCCACCCUGUUGCCGCUGAUGUUCCCAGGGCCUCAUUUUGUAAUCCACAAGUAGCUGCCGCCGGUCCCCCCAAAGCCAAAUGGGGGCUCCAGGGUGGGACAGGGUGGGCGGGGGUGAGGCUGUGACACCCAGAGGAAUUCCUGUGAGAGGAUGGGGAAGGGAUUCGCUCUUAGUUCCUGGGUGCACCCCUCCCCCUCUCCCGUGCACAGGGAAAUGAUGGCGGGAACACAGCAAAGGAGACCAUGUCCUGGAGAGGGUCCCGGGCCCCACCCUCCCCGGGGGGGCUUGUGCAAGGCUGGCGGCCCGAUCUCUGCUGAUUCCAGUAUUGGGGGUGCAGAGAAGGCACAGGACAGUUUUUGUUGAAGCCGUUGCAGCCUCCACUUGGGGAAGCUGAGGCCAGGGGGGGAGGCUGGCAGGGGCAUGGAGCCAGGAAACAGCCUUCGCCCCCCAGAGCACCAGGUACCCUGAGAAAAGUGAGAAGAGAGAUUGCAGCCCAGGUCCCUGCAGAGGAGGAUGGGCUCCUUUCCCAGGAAGGACUGGCUGAGUGGACUGUCUCCAGGGCACAGGACAACGUUGAGGGCCUGAGGCCUCCACCUUCUUGAAGAAGGACCAUGUGAAUUUCCUGACAGAGAACGGGGAUGGGUUUCUGAAAGCACCACCCAGCUGAGCCUGCCGAAACUGCACAGCUGUUUCCAGGCCAGGCUGGCUGCAUGGAGGACGUGAGAGGAACAGCCAGCUGUGUGUGCUGGGCCCACUGAUCAGGGUGCUCAGGACCAGGAGCCUUCUGAGGAUGUGCAGAGGGGACUCUGGGGAGAGGAACAUGGUGGCCACAGCUGGAGUGACCGCAGUGUACAGAGAUGGGAUGGGAGCAGGAAACCCAAAAGAGCCGGCCCUGGAACCAGGUGGAGGGGAGGCAGCCCGGCCAUGACCCAGAGCAGGACACCUGCUCCACUUCACCUUUUGCCAUGAGUAAAAGCUCCCUGAGGCCUCCCAAGAAGUUGAUGCCCUGUGCUUCCUGUACAGCUGCGGAACCGGAUGGCUUUCCGUGGCUUUGCUACAGCCACUCCUGGAAGUGCUGCCUGACUGAAUCCUCAGGGCACCCCGGCAGGAUGGACGUGGUGUACCCCCUACUUUACAGAUGGGGAAACUGAGGCUUGAGAGCUAAAGCAGCCCACCCAGCUCCCAGAGAUGAGGAGGCCGACUCUGGCAGGAGUCACUGUCGGUGCAUGGGCAUUUCUUCCUGUUACAGCCUGCGGCCCCUUCCAGGCCGGGAGGCCUUCUGCGCAGGAGGAGGGCUUCAUAGGCCAAGGCACGACGCAGGGGAGACACCAACUUGCCUGGUCCACCACAGAGGUGAGGGCCGCGUCAAUGGCCAUCUGUCCCCUCUUUAGUGCCCUGACGUGAUGGUAUGACCCAUUCUGGGAGGCCGAGAGCACCUCAAAGAACUCAGCAGGAAGCACAGUUUCAAUUCAGAAGUUCUGGAAGGCGAGGCAGGACAGGGCACCCUCCCUGCAUGGCCCGAUGACCUGCACUCCUGUUUCAUCUCCCCGUGUGGCACCUGGGGCAGCUUGGAGCCUACCAAGGUCUCAACAAGGAACCAGUAAAUACCAAAAAAAGGACAUCACGUCCCCUACAGCUAACUGCAAAUGGUGACCAUCCCAGCCCUUGUUUGAUAACACAAGCAAAGCAAUGGCUUCUUCAAGGACACCGAGAGGAACCUCACCUCUUUCUAAAACCUCCAACACAGGGCCAGGCGCGGUGGCUCAUGCGUGUAAUCCCAGCACUUUGGGAGGCCGAGGCAGGUGGAUCACGAGGUCAGGAGAUCGAGACCAUCCUGGCUAACACGGUGAAACCCCGUCUCUACUAAAAAUAAAAAAAAUUAGCCGG